rnacentral:rRNA from 1 species
UACGUAGGGCGCAAGCGUUAUCCGGAAUUAUUGGGCGUAAAGAGCUCGUAGGCGGUUUGUCGCGUCUGCCGUGAAAGUCCGGGGCUCAACUCCGGAUCUGCGGUGGGUACGGGCAGACUAGAGUGAUGUAGGGGAGACUGGAAUUCCUGGUGUAGCGGUGAAAUGCGUAGAGAUCAGGAGGAACACCCGUGGCGAAGGCGGCUCUCUGGGUCCGCCCUGACGCUGAGGCGCGAAAGCGUGGGGAGCGAACGGG